AUCCAGCCGACGAGUCCCGAGUAGGACGAAAUGUACGUCAAAGUGGAU
rnacentral:hammerhead_ribozyme from 1 species